CCAGAUUCAUCUCCAAAAAUGGAACUCGUCGGAGGAUCCGAACCACAUGGGCUGGAGAGCCGGCUCCAGGCCUCGAGCCCUGACUGACCACAGGGCCCAGGGCAAUCACUGCCUGCCCAAGGCUGGCGCUGCUUGGCUGUGAGGCUGGUGUCUGCAAGCUGCCUGCCUUCUUCAUGAUACUUUCGGUGAAGAUACCCAGACCGCCCUACUCAAGGUGUGACCUGUGAACUCUCUGCCUGGGAAUCUGAAUCCUGAGCAGAGUGAUGCUGAGACAGAAAACAGUGGGUGCAGAUCCAUUCCAACGAGCUUUCUGAGGACGCUGUCCCCCGAUUCCUCCUACCGAGAUCCCCGGAACUGCUCUGGGAUCCUCCUUCCCAGGGCUCCUCAGCAGCUUUCCCUUCGAUUCUAAUUCUGCAUAUCUCGGUGAUCUAAGACUUCAAGUAUUUCCAGUGGAGAAUUGAAGAGAGAGGUCAACUCCUGCCAAGCUCCGACUGCUACAGGCCUCUGCUUCCCUUCAUGACUUACUCAACCUUGCUAACUGGAUGACUGGCUGCCAAACAAAAUCACAGGAGGAAAAAAAGAAAAGGCAUCUCAUCUUUCUCUCGUAAGCCUUUGCUCUCUUCAACUUCCUCGUCGUCGUAGUGAGUGUUCAAGUUCUCCAGUUUCCCCAGGCGGGCUCAGGGCUAAAAAUAGCCCAUCAUGUGUGGUAGCACCGGUGGCAUUUCCUGGGGUAUGAGAGUCCCAGUAAGAACAACUGGUGAGAUGAGAUGACCAAAUUCUGCGAGUGUGGGGACACCCUACACUUCUCCCCCGCACCCACUGCUAAGAUGCUCAGACUUCUGCAGGAAUAUGUUCAUAGUCACUCUUGGACUUUUGAUGAGAUCAAAAGGAACUGGCGUGUUUCCUCUUCUCAGAUGUGAGUAGCAUAACUUAUCAUUGUUUCAAGGGCAUAAAACAAGUGUAAUCAUUGAGGGUGAAAUAUAAUUCAGGCCUGUCAACCAUACCAUUGUUCCAACUAAGUAGAGAAAUUCGAUGAGGAAUAAAUGCUAAUUGAACUGCUAAUGUUUAACAAACAUAAUUAAACUUAUUGCAAAUUGUUGGAGGAAAAUUUUUUCUCAUACAUGCAUAAUAUUUUGGGGACCAUUUUUAAAGGAAGAUUACAUUAAAAAAAAAUAAAGAGACUCCCU
ensembl:lncRNA